AACGAACGCUGGCGGCAGGCCUAACACAUGCAAGUCGAGCGAGGACUUCGGUUCUAGCGGCGGACGGGUGAGUAACGCGUGGGAAUGUGCCCUUCUCUACGGAAUAGCCCUGGGAAACUGGGAGUAAUACCGUAUACGCCCUAUUGGGGAAAGAUGUAUCGGAGAAGGAUCAGCCCGCGUUGGAUUAGGUAGUUGGUGGGGUAAUGGCCUACCAAGCCGACGAUCCAUAGCUGGUUUGAGAGGAUGAUCAGCCACACUGGGACUGAGACACGGCCCAGACUCCUACGGGAAGCAGCAGUGGGGAAUCUUAGACAAUGGGGGCAACCCUGAUCUAGCCAGGCCGCGUGAGUGAUGAAGGCCUUAGGGUUGUAAAGCUCUUUCAGCUGGGAAGAUAAUGACGGUACCAGCAGAAGAAGCCCCGGCUAACUCCGUG
rnacentral:rRNA from 1 species